UUUUUAUACUAUCUUUCAUCCUCUCUCAUGUUCCCACACACCUACACCACUACCACCGCAUCACAUUCACAUUUAACAACAAACCCAUUAUUCUCUUCAUCUUCUUCAAAAUUCCAUUAUGCUUUCAAACAGCAUAAACACAACAACCAUAGAAAGAUAUACUAAAUUGAGUGAAAUCCUUAAAAUCAAAUUCCAGAAAAAUCUGAUACACAAAUGAAUAAUCAAAACAAGCAUGUAGAUGACAAAAUUGGAAUCUGAAAUUUCAUUAUGCUUUCCCUUCUUAGUCCACCGUUUUUUCACCCUUACUUCCACGCCUAAUCAUAUCGGAAAUGCUUCCAGAAUUGCGGUCUAAGUUUAAUACUGAUGUGUUUUAAAGCACCAACAAGGUUUUGUUUUUAUUUUUCAUGUUCUUGGUGUGAUGGAUUUUGAAGAUCCAUGGCAGAUUGGGUGAUGGAUUUGUGUUCCUCAUUUUAAGAAAUUCGCAAAACUGAAUGAUAUUGGGACAAGGACAAUUCAACUUGUUAUUUUCUAAAACAACACCCAUAUAAAACUUAGAGAAAUUGAGUUUUCCGGCAGCCAUGGUGGUGUGUGGUGGUCAGAAGGGUUGCUAAAUUUGUGCUUUAGUGGUGGUGGUGUGGGACAUGAAAGAGAGAUGAUGAAAGAUAAUAUAAAAAAUAAUUUAGUGUGGAGAGAGUAUGAUAAGAAUAUGUUCCUCAUUUAAUCUAA
rnacentral:lncRNA from 1 species